rnacentral:rRNA from 1 species
UGGGGAAUAUUGGGGGCAAUGGGGGCGAAAGCCUGACCCAGCAGCGCCACGUGUGGUGCGUUGCGUGUACCUUUCGAAUAAGCAUCGGCUAAUUCCGUGCCAGCAGCCGCGGUAAUACGGAAGAUGCGAGCGUUAUCCGGAUUUAUUGGGUUUAAAGGGAGCGUAGGCGGGCUGUUAAGUCAGCGGUCAAAUGUCAGGGCCCAACCUUGGCAUGCCGUUGAUACUGGCGGCCUUGAGUUCACACAAGGAAGGUGGAAUUCGUCGUGUAGCGGUGAAAUGCUUAGAUAUGACGAAGAACUCCGAUUGCGAAGGCAGCCUUCUGGGGUGUUACUGACGCUGAGGCUCGAAAGUGCGGGAAUCAAACGGGAUUAGAUACCCUGGUAGU